rnacentral:lncRNA from 1 species
CCUCAUUUGUUUCUCAAACUUCUCAUAAACACUGCCUUUUCUCCACUCGUGACCAACUGGGCUCAACACUUAGAAAAAUUUUCAGUGUUUCCUGGCCCGCCUGGAGGGUGUUUUUCGGGGGCCUUUAGGAGGCCUUCCCGAUCUCCAUUUAGGACGUGCGACCUAUGGAUGGAAAGAUAUUUGAGUGAAGUUUCACUCUCUAGUUGAAGGUUUUGGCUAAUUUUGGCCGAAGGGUUGUGAAAAUCUCACUUUUCUCUCAAAAGGUUGAUCUGGAAUUUUCUGGGUUUGCUUUGCUGGAGUUGCUUCUGAGGGCCUCUUUGGGGGACGAUUCCGAGCUCUCUCCCCUCCCUCUCGUCUCCUC